rnacentral:rRNA from 1 species
AUUGAACGCUGGCGGCAUGCCUUACACAUGCAAGUCGAACGGCAGCACGGGAGCAAUCCUGGUGGCGAGUGGCGAACGGGUGAGUAAUACAUCGGAACGUGCCCAGUAGUGGGGGAUAACCCGGCGAAAGCCGGACUAAUACCGCAUACGACCUACGGGUGAAAGCGGGGGAUCGCAAGACCUCGCGCUAUCGGAGCGGCCGAUGUCAGAUUAGCUAGUUGGUGGGGUAAAGGCCUACCAAGGCGACGAUCUGUAGCUGGUCUGAGAGGACGACCAGCCACACUGGGACUGAGACACGGCCCAGACUCCUACGGGAGGCAGCAGUGGGGAAUUUUGGACAAUGGGCGCAAGCCUGAUCCAGCCAUGCCGCGUGCGGG